rnacentral:rRNA from 1 species
CUACGGGAGGCUGCAGUUAAGAAUAAUCUACAAUGCGCGCAAGCGUGAUAGUUUGAGCCAGAGUGUCUCUCAGAAGAGAGACUUUUGCCAAAUCUAAAUAGUUUGGUGAAUAAGGACUGGGUAAGACGAGUGCCAGCCGCCGCGGUAAUACUCGCAGUCCAAGUCGCAGCCAUAAUUAUUGGGUCUAAAACAUCCGUAGCUUGCUUAAUAAGUUCCUUGUGAAAUUUUACCUCUCAAAGGUAGAGCGCGCAAGGAGUACUAUUGAGCUAGAGACUGGAAGACGUAAGAAGUACGUUCAAAGUAGCAGUAAAAUGCGUUAAUCUUGAAUGGACUCACAACAGCGAAGGCAUCUUACGAGGACAGUUCUGACAGUAGGGGAUGAAGGCUAGGGGCGCAAAACGGAUUAGAUACCCGCGUAGUC